rnacentral:rRNA from 1 species
UACAGAGGUCUCGAGCGUUGUUCGGAUUCAUUGGGCGUAAAGGGUGCGUAGGCGGCGCGGUGAGUCGGAUGUGAAAUCUCGGAGCUUAACUCCGAAACUGCAUUCGAUACUGCCGUGCUUGAGGACUGGAGAGGAGACUGGAAUUUACGGUGUAGCGGUGAAAUGCGUAGAUAUCGUAAGGAAGACCAGUGGCGAAGGCGGGUCUCUGGACAGAUCCUGACGCUGAGGCACGAAGGCCAGGGGAGCAAACGGG